UUUUCUAAACCUGCCAAAAACUGAAAUCCAAGUCGAACCUGAUGCCAAACCACCAUUACAGAACUCAGUGGAAUUGUACUGUUUCAGAGAAGAAAACAUCCUCACCUGCAUUUUGAAGUGAAUGUUAUAUCCUCAUCUUAAAGGCAAAGUGAGACUUUCUUCAUUUCUUUGCUCUGAAGCACUUAACUUACCUUGGCAUUGAGUUCUGUUAUCAGUAGUCUGAUUCCAGGGUACUGCCUCCAGGAGCGGAUUUGCACAGACCUCUGGAAACAUACCUGCAGUUACCUAAAGGAAAAGGAAAUGGCAAGAACCAGGCAGACAAAGAGAUCCUGAGAUCAUGCAAAUGCAGAAAUACAUUUUCAUACAUAGAUUUCAAAGUGGGAGAAGAAAAUGAUAGCUUGUGAAUGGGAAGAACCAUCAGAUAAGCAGAAUGAUUUCUUGUAGUGGCCUUUCAGCUGAGGUAAGUGUGCUGCCCUAGGACCACCUGCCCACACCUUGGGUGCCCCCAUCCAGCACUCUCUGUCUGCCUGUCCUG